AGAAAAAAAAAGAGACGGGGAGGUGAGACCAUUUAGUUUCUUCACCAGAGUUGCGGAGAAUUUCAUUAUGUCAAUUGAACGGUUCCCAAUCAAUUCAUCAUAUUUUCUUAUGGUUCUCAAAUAAUCAACACUUCAUACAAUGAAUCGCUAAGACUCCCUCACACUCCAAUGUCUCUCGAUAACAUAAAUAUCUUAUCAAAAUAGGGAUCAGACGCAAUUGCAGUGGAAUACAGAAAAUUUCUGAUUUUAGGCAAUGUUAUUUCACCGAAGAUAAGACAAGUGUUCUUCAACAUCAUUGAACAUCGUCAACUCGAUAUAUCCAUGGAGAAAGAGUCUUCACCGACGGGAGCUUGCACCGUGCUUUUUCUUCUUCCAUAUUCUCCUCAAUUAUGUUGGGUGUUAGUUUGAAGUGGAUUAAGCAUUACAUUUUGUUUUGAAGGCUUCUGAAAUAUCAUCAGUUAUCAUCACAAGAAGGAUACAACCAAGUACCCAAUAUGAAACCCUUGGUGGUGCCGAAUCUCACGAUGAAGUUUGGGAUGGUCAAUUAAAAAAUACUAAAUGCAUUAAGUUGAUUUUUCAGAAUUUUUGUUUUCAGGUUUGGACUUUUGAUAUGUCUUUAGUUUCAAUUGAAUCUCAAUAUCAGAAUUACUAGAUCCAUUUUAUUAGAGCUCAUCUAAUCCUCUAUUUGUGUGUAAAGUUAUGGAUUUCAUGGAAAUCUAUUGCAAAUUGAGUUUCUUUGUUAAGUUAAUCCACUAUUAGUUGCAUUUUUAAUUUCAGAAUUACUGGAUGUGUUAGGUGCAUAUAUCGACUGAGAAACAAAAUGAGUACGUACAGACGACAUUAUCGAUAUACCCAUCAUUAUUGCAUUCAUCUUUAAUCUGAAUUAAAGAAAGUACACCACUUUUGCACAUUGUUGAAUGAUAAUGUGGUUAAAUUUGUAUAAUUUUUGUUCAUAAUUGUUUAGUUUCUGACACAGUUAGGGACAAAAUCGCAUAUAACUAAAAUUUAGUUGAAAUUAUGAACGACCAAAUGAGAUCAAAUUAUGAAAAUUUUGAUGCAGUUUAUGAACUUGCGGUCGCAGCUGAAACUGGGAAAACAUAAAGGUAAUCUCAUUAUUUUCACUAGGCUUUUAUCCGAUUUUGAUUUGUCAACGGGUAAUAUUUUUAGUGCAACCAAGAGAAUGGCGACGAGUAAAUCCAUACUCGAAAAUUGCAUUGUGGACUCUGUACCUUCUCAUAUGUGUCUUUCAAAAGAUGUUUCAUGAACUUCUCACUUUGUGUCAAUUUUUACAUCUCUGCAGGAUCUAUCAGAUUGAAAUUGGAUUGAUUAAUCUUCCGGAGAAUAUAGUGGGUUCUUUGUACUUUCUUUUUGUUAUAUAAUCCAUGUUUUUUUCCUUUUGAUUCAGAUUACGCACACAUCACUUGGCGAUAUUAACAUUAAACUGUACCCAGAAAAAUGCUCAAAACUAUGGAGAAACUCACCACUGGCUGCAGUAAUGGUUAUUAUUAAGAUAAUCUAAUCUUCUUUCUGGAUAAUUAUCAGAGGAUUUAUGAUAUAUAUAUCCCCGAGAUCCUCAGGGAGACGGCGAUGGUGGGAAGUCUAUUUAAGGUAGGGAAUUCGAGGAUGUAUUCUACAAACGGUAACUCCUAUUUCUGAUUAACAAUAGUAUGUUACAAAUUUAAUUCGGUUUUCUUCUAGGAUCAUAUGAUUAGAAGCUUAUAACAGCAAAGUUCUCUUUUAUUUCCUCUCCGCCUCAGAUUGUUAUCAUUAUCUGUUCUUUAUAGAAUCAGGUUCUUCUUUCUAGAAUCAGGUUCUUAUUUGUUACGAAGAGCUUACAUAUGAGAAAUGGUUAAGGCAUGAUAAACCUUUCACCCUGUCCAUGGAUAAUUAAUGUGCAGUAAGAAACUGAUGCCGCCCAGUUCUUUAUAACCAUUGUAGCAACACCGUGGAUGGAUAAUAAGCAUGCUAUACUCGAUAAAGUUAUGAAGAAAAUGGACGAGGUGCAGGUAUUUUUAUUUUAUAUCAUUCAUAUUCCCUAGAAAUUUCCUCAUAUGUUUGGAAUCAUCAAGUUAAAUAAUGAUCCAUGUAUGAAAUCUUGAUUCUUAACGGAAUUCAACAAAUCAGGACAUUUUCACAUAUUAUCAUAAAAAUCCCUUAACUUCUCAAUCCCUCUAUUUAAUUUUGUUAGAUGAUACACCAUUUAAGCAUCUUACAGUUUGUUGUUUGAGUUCUUACUUACGAAAUAUCCAUUGCAAUAGUAUGUUUUCCAUGAAAUACACUUGCUUAAACAUUUCCAAUUUUGUGACUAUCUAUUUACAAGCUAAAAGUUAUGGCAUCAGUAACUUUAAUCUUAACUAUUGUGGGUUCUUGAUGGUUUGUCUCCGACACACAGUGUGUGAUGGAAGUUAAGAUGUCUUCUAGGUUGGUUCGAUGUUCAAACCCGCCAGAAAUUUAUGGAAUUGCACAACAACUACAUUGUCCAGUUCGAAGAGCAUAUUAAUUAAGGUUUGUAUCACUACAAGUGAAACAACAACUAAGAAGCCAUCUAUUGCAGUUUCAACCUUAGAUUUCGUCGAAGAGUUAAAGACACAUUUUGAAGAUGUGGUGGAAGAGUGCACAAAUUUUUUUCAUUAUUUUAAAGGUCACGAUCCAACUAUUUUGAUCGAGUGCACUUGAAGAGUGCUUCUUGCGGGCGCGCGUGGUUCCAAGACGAUGUGUAGUAAUAUAUUAGUAGUGGAAUGUUUAACUUCAUUUUCUUGAAACUCAUGUAUGUUAUUACUUAGCUUAUUCAAAAUGAAAGGUUUAUCCUCA